rnacentral:lncRNA from 1 species
GUGAUUAAUAUCACUUUAAUUAAUAAAAUUUAUUUCAUUUCCCAACAUUUUGAAGAUAUUCUCUUUGCUACCUUUGUUGCAAAACUAUCAAUAUAAUGUAUUUAUAAUACCGGGAUCUAACGCAAGUGGUUGAUGCAAGGUGAGUAAGUUGAGUUUUUCUUUUGAUUUUCAUUAUUGAUUGUCUUUGCCAUCAUCUUGUCCAGAGUAUACCACUUUGUAGUCGUGACUCUUUUGUUGUUGUUGUUGUGUGUUUGAUUCUUUAUAUUGUUCCUUAUUAGACACAUAUUGUGCUUAAUUGGAACGGAUUUUUUUAUUAUAUUACUCAUUUAACUUCUUAAAAAAAGUAGAUGGUGAAAAUAAUGUGUACAAUGUUGUAAACUUCAAGUUAUGUAGUUCAAUUUCUAUUGAUCUAAAAAAUAAUGUUUGUCAAUUUUUUUUUAUUUUUAUAGAAUUCAAUUAAAACAAAGAAAGUAUAUCAAACCUAACUUCACCCUUGUACUAAAACAACAACAUGUCAAAUUUAACCCCUGAACAAAGAUUAUAUGAACUCCAGAUACUCCACAAAACAACAUGUGAAACAAAUAUCAAACCUAACUUCACCCUCGUACUAAAACUCAACCUCGAGAAAUACAUAAAAAACGACCAACAUUCCGAUGGGGAGCACACAAAAUAUUGUACCAUACAAAUAGGAUGACAUCACACACAUAGACAUAAACAGGUGAGACACUGAUACCAUAGGAUCAAUCACCACAAAAACAACACCCAAUACCUUAGUAGUGACCAUCGUACGCCUAAGGAGAUUAUCCCUAGUAAGAGCCUUAUUCUAAAGAAGUUGGCAAGAGAAAACAACCACCUUCGACGAGCCACCUAGAUUUCCAAACCUUUGUCAACGCCUCCACCACUCAACUGGCAAAGCCCCAUCCACCUGUACACUUUUAGCAAGAACCCCAAAAGCAUAAUCUCGUCGUCCACUUGCAAGGGCCUUGUUUAAAGCCAGAGCAAAGCUCUGUAUGAACUAGACCACUAAAAUUAGCAUCGUGUGGAAUCAAACAUGAGAUGUUGAGAUGAGCACACUCCAAACUCUCAAGCCAACACCACCAAACCAACCCAAUUGGUAUGAAAAAUAUGUUCUUAAUUUUCCAAAAAAGGAAAAGAAAUCAGAACAUCAACGACUCCCAUUUUUUUUCUUUAUUUGGCUAAUUUUUAGCUGUAGUGUAAUCAUAGGUAAACUUUUUCUACAAUGUUUGUUUAGUUAAAUUUAAGGGUGAAAAAAUUGAAAUAUUAGCUCUAAUGAUUUAGUGUAGCGGUAAAAGAGAGUUUAGGUAGUGUUUUUAGAACUCAAAGGUCUUGUCUUUCUUGGAAUGGACGCCAUCUUCUCAUCCUAAUUUUUUAUUAAAUAAAAAAAUCUAAACAUUUUUAAUCUCCAGAUUUUUAAAAUGUGAAAUAUUAGGAACUUCAUAUUCUUUAAAAAUGCAAAGUUUUGAAAUAUUAAAACAUAUGCUUCUUUUUUUCUGCUCAACUUAUACAUUAUUCUACUAAUUUAUGUAAUUUUUGGUUACGUAGCUUUGUGGCUAGAAAUUCUCAUUUUAUGAUGAAUAAGUAGGGUGUUCGGGAUUCGAACUCCAGUCCUUAUAUAUACUAUGCAAUGCCUCUACCAUAUAAGUUAAACUCACGGAGACAUGCUAAUUUUAGUGUGGGAAAUGUUUUUUCUCGUGAGAGAAUAUCAAGCGAAUAGACCACGACAAUAGCUGGUUAGUUUUGAUUGGAGGUUUAUUUCUUAAUUUCUGUUUUUUCAGCAAACACCUCCUUGUAUUCCGCCAAACAUCAAACUAUGAUUGAUUAGUUUUGGUUCAGGAAGUUUUCGUUGUGUUUUCUUUCACACUAUAUAGCAUCGCUCUUUUAGUUUUAAGUGUGAGAAGAUUAUGCUUGGAAUUGUUUUAAAUGUUUAAGAUUCAAGAAGUGAAAAUUCAAAACAUCUUUAUGUUACAUCUUUGUGAGUGUCCUAGUAUGAUUGAUCUCUUUUGAUCAUACAAGAAUCACUCAAGUAUAGGGGUCUAGAGUAAAACAUUUCUCAUGCAAAUGCAAAGUCACAUGCUUCACGUGACACUACAAAUUCCGUUAGACCUCAACAGGUAUACAAGGGCCCAAUAUGAAGGGAUGAUGCCCUACCUUAAAGGAAUCAGACAUUUGCUUUUUUAACAUCAUAAACUUUCCUAAAAACACAAGUAAAAUACUAAAAUACCUCCUGCGGUAGUUAACUACUGCUGGCUUAUAACUAGAAAACCGGCAGCAGUUAACUAUCGCUGGAUUUUUUAAUCAUUUACUUGUGUUUUCAAGACAUAUUGGAUGUCAGAAAAGCAACAGUCAAGGAAUCACGUACGCGUCGGGUUUCCAUCACACGAUAAAGAGAAGAGACCAUGACAGAUUCCUGGGCUAGCAGCAUGGCCAUCUCUUUAAUAAUGCAAUAGUAAUUAGGAAGGAAUGCAAAUUUACAUGAAUGAAGUUUGUCAUUGUCUUUAUCAGCCAUGAAGAUGAAAGCUUUGUCUUAUUUUUCAUUUAGCUUCCCUAUAUAGUCGAUGAUGAAAAAUUAAUAUGAUCCAGGAGAUGGUAGUGACACCUAAAUUUGUGUCUUAUGUUUAGAAAAUUAAACAUCAUAUAUAUUAUAGGAUAUGGUUGUUUGGGGACCAUGAUGAACUUUCACUUUCCAAUUAAUUUUGGCUAAAUAUAAGGUUGUGAAUAUGAACAUGCAGAAGGAAAAAACAACUUAAUGCAAUGAUGCAUCACAAUCAAAUGAGAUGUAUAUAAAAGGUAUGUCUGUAGACAAGAUGACAAGUAACUGCAUCUUGAUUGUGCUGUAUAACACUUACACCAAAGGUCAAAACAAUAUUACGAUCACCUAAGUCCUCAAGUGAAAUUUUUUAUAAUUAAAUUUGUAUUGAAGUUUACUAGAAUCAGAUUGAUCAAUGUGAUUAACAAUAACAUAAAUAAUCAUAUAAAGGUUAAUUUGAUGUUAAUAAUAAUAUUUCAAAUAUCAAAAACGAUUUUCCAGAUCUUGAUGGUCCCUGUAUAUCACUUACGCCAGCUACUAUUGUACCUCCUUAACUUUCAAUUGUUCACUAAGUUUGGUUGACAGUGCUCAGAUAUUGUACCAAUUCUUAGUGUGUCCUAGCUAGUUGCUAGUGCUACCUCAUUUUCACCAAUAAAAUUAUGUACCUUAAGGGUCCACGAAAAGAAGAACUUCUAUCAUCCUCACAUUGAAGAACUAACGAUCCACAUCUGCAUCUCUAAAGUUCUAUGAUAUCAAAAUGGACCAUUUGUACAAAUUAUUUGGCUCCACUGAGAGCAGUGUGACCCAACUAUUUUGCCCAUGUUACAAUCUUCUAUUACUGAGAAUAUUGUUUAAGAUAGUAACUAACAAGUUAGUUAUGUUUAGUUAGAAGUUUGUUAUAUUAGUUACUUUGAGAUUACUUAGAAGGUAUAUCCUACACUCACACACAAGUGGAGGAGUUAGGGUUUGAACCUGAUCAUAGUGUCCGUUCUAACAAUUUCGACAAAUUUGUCCGUUGAGCUAAGACAUGUGGAUUUGUUAGAUCAAAGAAGUGUUGUCUUGUAGGGCAUUCCACUAUUACAUAUAAAUUUAGACUAAAGCAACCCUACAAGACAAUUUAAACCAAUACGAGUAACAAGCCCCGGUAUUUCGGAUUGGUUUGCUCUACCAACAGACAAAAAUAUUGCUAAAGCAGCAAAACAUUGGUUCUGUCUCCGCAAAUAUCAUGCAAACUAGUUGAAACUGUUGGGAAAUAAAAAGUCCAACGUAUUACUGGAACUAAGAUAAGUAAAGUGAACAUAAAGCAUAUAAAGUGUAUAAACAAAACUCACCCCAUAAGUUUGGCAAAAUCACCGUGAAACAACAUGAUUUUAUAAAACUACACCUUGUAGCUUCAUUAAGAUUAUGAUAUCAUUAGAGAUUUUGUCUAAUCCACCACUGUGAUAUUAAACAUAUGUAUGAUGAGAGGUUCGAUUUUGAUCAAAUUAUGGAUUUGAUUCAAAUUUGGUCUUGGUUUUGAACUAUACAAGAGAAUUAUAGAAAGGGUUUGGUUGAUUGAUUUAUGUUUUCAGAUUGGUGUACACCGUGUUACUUUUGGUUAUUUUUAGUGUAUGGAACAUGUUGAAGUAAUGCCAAUUUUCGGUAAGGUUAAUUAUCUAGGGUGUGUGUUUGAUAGAUGGACACAUGUAAAUGUAUGGACAAUUGCAAAAAUGUAAGGCUUUGUUCGAGAGUUUGGAGGGAAGGGAUGAGAGGGCUUUGGGGUUGGAAAUAUAUAGAAAAAUGGACAAAAAAUUCACAUUUUUUUGAAAGAACAGUUUUUUAGAGAAUGAUAAACUAAUACUUAUGAUUAAUAUACUUUUGAUUUUAAGAAUAUUAUAACAACAUAGAUUGAAUUUGAAAAAUUCAUAUAAACCCUCAAUAACCCCACAAAACCCUCCCCCGAUACAAUUUUUGAGUUCCCCCAAAUGAGGGAGAUUUUUUAUCAUCAGUAAAAAAUUAACCUCCAAAACCCUCUCCUCCCAAUGUCUUCUAUUUCUUCCACUUGCUCAUUCCUUUUUUCCAAAACCCUCCCCUUCCCUCCAAACUCCCAAACAAAGCCUUAGAGUUAUUCUAACUUGUGCCCUAAGAGCAUCCACAUUGGUAAGGUCUUUAUCAUUUAAGACCCGAUAUUUAUUAGGUACUCCCAUUGUAGGAAAAAAAUUGGGAGUCUCUUAAGAUCCUCAAUCUUAAGUGAACCCCACACCACUUUUCAAUAAAAUAAUCAUUAUUUGAGUUGCUUUUGUUGCUUUUUAUUAAUAAAUAGUUAUUGGUGGACCCAUUUAGACCAUUUGAUAGAGGAUCUCUAUUGGAGUGGUCGAGUACCUAUUAGGUACUAUUAUUAAAAAAAAAAAAAAAAGUGACGUGUCCAUAUGGGACUUGUUUAAGACCUCAAAUAUGAAAGUAUCCAUUGUCGAUGUUCAAGGGCAGAAGUUAAGGAGUUUAAAAUGGAAAUUAAAAAUAAAUUUUAUAUUAAAAGUAUAACUUUUGCAACUUUUAAGACAAUGAAUGCACAAGUUUCAAGAAAAACUUUCUACGUUUGAUUUCCUAAUUUAUGCCUCAAGGACACAAGUUAACAUUUCCCAAAAUGUAAAGGUUUAGUCCAAGCUUAUUUUGCACCUGGAAGCAUUUUCAUAAUAUCAUUGUUCAUCAAAGAUUAAUGCUAACAUUUUUUAGUCUCUUCUAAAAAAAGAUUUUUUGAGUCUAAUGAAUUUCUUGUCUUUGUAAGUGUGAAUUAUAAGUUUUCCAUUGGAUAAAAAAGUGGAUGUUAAGUAAUAUAUAAGUGAAUAGCAUAUUAUGAAGAGCGUAGCGAAAUGUGAUAUUUAAUGUGAAUUGCAGAAUUUUGUGAGCUAUCUAGUCUUUUAACGCAAGUUGCGCUUCAUGGCAUUAGAUUGAGGGCACUUCUGCCCAAAUGCCACAAAUCAAAGGAAAAAAAAAAUAUAAAAAAAAGUUAGAGGACCUACUUACAUAAUGUGUUAAGGUUUUGGAUAAAAUGAUGGUGUCGAAUUCUCUUUAUAUUGUUGCUAUUAAUCCAAAGUGAUGAUCUUUCGGGCUCCCUGAGGAGGGGGAGCACCUAGAUAAGUGGGUGGACUCACACUAGAAAUGAAGAUUUAUGUGGCAAGUGACUUAAAAGUCGCACAUUCGAUAAAAAAAAUAUGGGAACCAUACUCAAAUAAAUAGAUGGACUCAGACUUGAGUGAUAGAUUGUUGUGACAAGUGUGAAUUAGGUUUCACAUUUGAUAGAAAAGUGGAUUAUUUUUUUGAAAAGGAGAAAAAGUGGAUAUUGAGCAAGAGCAAACUUAUGAAUGGAUAUUAGACUCGCACUUGAAAGGGGGAUUGUUGUGGCAAGAUUUAUGAGUCAUCUCGCUUAAAUAUUAUGCGACAUCCACUUAAAAGUUAAUGUUUUAGGUAAAGAUGUGGGUCCCCAUUCUCCUAUCAUAACCCUAACAUUUCUUCAUAAAGUGAAAACACAAAUUAAAAAUCUAAAAAUGAUAUAUAUUAUUUUUCUCAUAUUUCUCUGUAAUUUUGAAAGGCAAUUAAAUUAAGUUGUAACUAAUCCCACCAACGUCCACAUAUUUUUUUUUUAUGGUCGAGUAGCCUAGUGGUUAGAGUUCACACAAUUUAAUUGUGGAGAAGUGGGGUGUCCGGGGUUCGAACCCCGACCCCUGCAUAUAAUAUGCAAUAUCCCUACCAACUGAGCUAAGCUCACGGGGAUCCAACGUCCACAUUUCUACAAAACCAAACAUGACACCAAGGUGUAUACUUCCGAACAACAUAGCCUAUGAAGCACAGGCAUGUCUUGGAUUAGGCGUGUAUCGAUGUCGGACACGUAUCCGACACGGACACAUAUAAUUAAUUUGAAUUAUUUGAUUUUUUCUCAAUUAUUAACAGUGUCGGCGUGUCCGUGUCAUAUCUGAUGUCCGUGUCCAUAUUCGUGCUUCAUCUAACCAUGGAUUCUUAAGUGUAUACUUUCGAACAACAUAAUUUUCUGAAUGUGUGUUUCUGGACGUAUAAGAACUGUGUUUAUUUAUUUAUUUAUUUAUACAUUCAUAGUAAUUUUGAGGGUUAAAAAAGUUUCCCCUUUCUUCUUCUUCUUCUUGUCAGAGAGGUGAUUUAGGGUCAAGUUUGACCUAAAAAUCACCCCUCCGAAUUGUUUUUCGUUCUAUCUUAAUUGAAUAAGUGAUUUCACAUAUCUUCAGUUUUCUUUCGUUUGUUUUUGUGAUUUCGUCGUCUCUGUACGACUCUGUUUGUUUUGAUUUCCCGUCUUUGUGCGGGGUGUUUUUGAUUUCUCGUCUUAGUGCGGUGUUUAUUUGAUUCAGAUUGAAAGAUUAGCUUUGAGCAAGUGCAGAUCAGAUCAAUGACGUUGACGUCGUCAAUGUUGCAGAUCCGAAGACAUGAGUAUUCCGGAGACUUGACGAUAGUCAUAUUUGUAGGUACUUUGUCGUUUUAUGUUAUUAACAUGGAUGUUGUGAGUUUGUUCACAGAUUCAUCAUUUUUUUUAUCGAAUUUGAAUUUAUAUUGUAUCGAUG